AGAAUCAACGCUGGCGGCGUGCCUAACACAUGCAAGUCGAACGAGAAAGUGGAGCAAUCCAUGAGUAAAGUGGCGCACGGGUGAGUAACACGUGACUAACCUACCCUUGAGUGGGGAAUAACUUCGGGAAACCGAGGCUAAUACCGCAUAACACCUACGGGUCAAAGGGGCAAUUCGCUUAAGGAGGGGGUCGCGGCAGAUUAGUUAGUUGGCAGGGUAAUGGCCUACCAAGACGGUGAUCUGUAUCCGG
rnacentral:rRNA from 1 species